ensembl:lncRNA
GUGAGCAAAAAAAAUUUGGGUUUCUCAUGGCGGAGUUUCCAGGUAGCAGCCAAGCGUUUGUGACUGUGACUGUCAGCACUAUCCUCGUUGUCAAACUAACAUGAGAGGAAGUUUGAUAACCUCCAGGAUGCAUCCAAGCUGUGUUACACCCUCAUCAUGUUUGGGGCCCUUUACUACUUCUCUUAUAGACUGAACCACAUAGCAGUGAAACUGAUUUUGCUUCAGCAACUGGAUUUUCAGCUUGAGCUGUGGUAGCAUUUGGAGCAGAGUCUGUGCAGAAUAUCAGGUCAAAUCUUAGGAGGACAACAAAAAUAUGAACAGUGUGAACACUAUGAUCUUCAGCAUACAGUGUUGACAGAGGAUCUCCUUUUUAUUUGUG